rnacentral:rRNA from 1 species
GAGAAACGGCUACCACUUCCAAGGAAGGCAGCAGGCGCGCAACUUACCCUAAUCUCGAUUCGAGGAGGUAGUGACAAGAAAUACCGAUGCGGGACCCUACGGGUGCCGCGUUCGGAAUGAGUACGAUUCGAACCACCUAACGAGGAACGAUCGGAGGGCAAGUCUGGUGCCAGCAGCCGCGGUAAUUCCAGCUCCAAUAGCGUACGUUAAAGUUGCUGCAGUUAAAAAGCUCGUAGUUGAACGUUCGGGUUCCGCGGGACGGGGCCGCCCCGCGAGGGACGGCGCCGCCCCGGGGCUCGUGAUAUCUCAUCUCGCCGCCCGUCGCGAGGCGGACGGAGGGAUGGAUGAGGUUACCUGGAAAAAAAUCGGGGCGAUCUAGGCGGGCGAACCUCGCCAACGAACGAUCGGACAUGGG